rnacentral:rRNA from 2 species
AGAGUUUGAUCCUGGCUCAGGAUGAACGCUGGCGGCGUGCUUAACACAUGCAAGUCGAACGAACCUUCGGGUUAGUGGCGGACGGGUGAGUAACGCGUGGGAAUCUGCCCUCAGGAGGGGGAUAACGGUUGGAAACGGCCGCUAAUACCCCAUAUGCCGAGAGGUGAAAUGAAUUUCGCCUGAGGAUGAGCCCGCGUCUGAUUAGCUAGUUGGUGAGGUAAUGGCUCACCAAGGCAUCGAUCAGUAGCUGGUCUGAGAGGAUGAUCAGCCACACUGGGACUGAGACACGGCCCAGACUCCUACGGGAGGCAGCAGUGGGGAAUUUUCCGCAAUGGGCGCAAGCCUGACGGAGCAACGCCGCGUGAGGGAUGAAGGCCUCUGGGCUGUAAACCUCUUUUCUCAAGGAAGAAGAUCUGACGGUACUUGAGGAAUAAGCCACGGCUAAUUCCGUGCCAGCAGCCGCGGUAAUACGGGAGUGGCAAGCGUUAUCCGGAAUUAUUGGGCGUAAAGCGUCCGCAGGCGGCUUUUCAAGUCUGCUGUUAAAGCGUGGAGCUUAACUCCAUCAAGGCAGUGGAAACUGAUUGGCUUGAGUGUGGUAGGGGCAGAGGGAAUUCCCGGUGUAGCGGUGAAAUGCGUAGAUAUCGGGAAGAACACCAGUGGCGAAGGCGCUCUGCUGGGCCAUAACUGACGCUCAUGGACGAAAGCCAGGGGAGCGAAAGGGAUUAGAUACCCCUGUAGUCCUGGCCGUAAACGAUGAACACUAGGUGUCGGGGGAAUCGACCCCCUCGGUGUCGUAGCCAACGCGUUAAGUGUUCCGCCUGGGGAGUACGCACGCAAGUGUGAAACUCAAAGGAAUUGACGGGGGCCCGCACAAGCGGUGGAGUAUGUGGUUUAAUUCGAUGCAACGCGAAGAACCUUACCAGGGUUUGACAUCCUGCGAAUCUCUUGGAAACGAGAGAGUGCCUUUGGGAACGCAGUGACAGGUGGUGCAUGGCUGUCGUCAGCUCGUGUCGUGAGAUGUUGGGUUAAGUCCCGCAACGAGCGCAACCCACGUUUUUAGUUGCCAGCAUUCAGUUGGGCACUCUAGAGAGACCGCCGGUGAUAAACCGGAGGAAGGUGUGGAUGACGUCAAGUCAUCAUGCCCCUUACAUCCUGGGCUACACACGUACUACAAUGCUACGGACAAAGGGCAGCAAGUUCGCGAGGACAAGCAAAUCCCAUAAACCGUGGCUCAGUUCAGAUCGUAGGCUGCAACUCGCCUACGUGAAGAAGGAAUCGCUAGUAAUCGCAGGUCAGCAUACUGCGGUGAAUACGUUCCCGGGCCUUGUACACACCGCCCGUCACACCAUGGAAGUUGGCCACGCCCGAAGUCGUUACUCCAACCCUUGUGGAGGAGGACGCCGAAGGUGGGGCUGAUGACUGGGGUGAAGUCGUAACAAGGUAUCCGUACCGGAAGGUGCGGAUG